CCUAUGUCCAAGAAAAUUAAGGAAUGCAGACACAAGGGUCGGGGUGGAGUCAAAGUUUAAUAAGCAAAAAAGAAAGCUUUCUGCAGCAGAGAGGGGAGUCCAAGUGGAUUGCCGGGUUACAGCUGAAUUUAAAAGCGUUUUAUAAGAAACUGCUCUCUUCCCUGUAACUGUUGGAAUAACUUUUCUUACCAGUAAAGCUGUCUGUGCAAUUCUUCUUCUCUUAUGCAGCUGUGGGUAUGUCUCUAGGCAAGCACAAAGCCCCACUUCUCUUGUUUGUAUAACUGUGGGUUUGUUUUAGGGGUGGGGCCGCUUUAUAGGGUUUGGGAAGAUAAUGGAAAAUUACAGUCAAAGGGGGUUGUUCUCUGGUGGGCAGGGGCGGGGGUCACAAGGUGCUCAGUGGGGGAGCUUCUGAGCCAGGAGAAGGAAAUUCACAGGGUUAAUCACUCAGUUAAGGUGGGGCAGGAACAAAUCACAAUGGUGGAAUAUCAUCAGUUAAGGCGUGGCAGGGCCUUUUCACUUCUUUUGUGAUUCUUCAGUUACUUCAGGCCAUCUGGGCGUAUACAUGCAAGUCACAGGGGAUGCGAUGGCUUGGCUUGGGCUCAGAGACCUGACAUUCCUGCCUUCUGAUAUUAAUAAGAAAAAUAAAACAAAAUAGUGUUGAAGUGUUGGGGUGGCAAAAAUUUUUGGGGGGUGGUAUGGAGAGAGAAUGGGCGAUGUUUCUCAGGGCUGCUUCAAGCGGGAUUAGGGGCAGCGUGGGAACCUAGAGUGGGAGAGAUUAAGCUGAAGGGAGGUCUUGUGGUAAGGGGUGAUAUUGUGGGGAUGUUAGAAGAGACAUUUCUUGUAUAGAAUGAUUGGUGAUGGCCUGGAUACGGUUUUGGAUGAAUUGAGAAACUAAAUGGAAGAUACAAGGUCCGAAUAAAAGAAGGAGAAAAAUGGGUAUUAAAGGACUAAGAAUUGGGAGGCCCUAGGACAUCCAAUUAGAGAGUGCCUAAGGGGUUCAGCAUAAUUACUUGCUUGGUUGGCAAGUUUUUGGGCUCUAUCCUUGAGUUUUUUUAUGUUGUCAUACACCAGGCCAGAUUGAUUUAGGUAAAAACAACACUCUUCAUUUAAGAAUAUGCAGAGUCCUCCUUUUUCAGCAGUGAGUAAGUCAAGGCCUCGGCGGUUUUGGAGGACAACUGCAGCUAAAGAGUCAACUUGGAGUACUGAUAAAGUUUGUGACAUGUCUGUGAUGCUAGCAGAGAAGUCAUUAGAGAGGCUACGGAAGGUCGAGACAGAAGUUGAAAUGCCUGCUAUUCCAGUACUGAGAGCAAUAGUGGAGGCAGAAAGUCCUAAACCGACCAUCAAGGGAAUUAGUGGAAUAACUCUUCUUUGUCAUGUCGGUGUCAUGAGGGGAACAGGGAGCUCUUCGGUCCUAUUUGCAAAUUGAAUUUUGGGGGAAAGGAAGACUAGUGUGCAUGUGCCUGUCCAAUUAGCAGGUAGACACAUGUAGGUAGAGGAACCACAGAGGAAGAAGAGACCUUGUGCAAGGCAAAACUGGAGAUGUAAAGUAAAAAGAUGAGAAGGAGUGCUGAAAGGGGUGUCUUGUACCUAGAGUCCUAGGGAUCCAGCUAGGGCGGCAGCUGUCAGAGGUUGUAAUGGGGACUGAUGGGGUAACUGCGUAGAGGGGGAGGUUCAAUUUUCAUGGUGUAUGAGAAAACAUUGAGUAUCUAUGAGCAACCUUUCACUGUUAUUUUCGGGGCUGGAUAUAAGUAAACAAGAAUAGGGCCUGGGAGGAGAGUCUGAUGAGCAAGGGGAAGGUAGCCAAGGAUGGAGUUCAAUACAGGGUAAGUGUCUUCCUAAGCAAUAAUUACUGCUAACAUUUUUAAGUUUAUCAGUAUUGAUAGAGGGCUUGUCUGUAAUAUGGAGCUGGAAGGCUCCAAUUGUUUCAGUGAUGUGUGUAAUUGGGCUUCGGAGAUGAAGAGUAAAGGAACAUCGAGAGGGUGAAAGAUUACCUAGGGGAAUUCCAGUGGGUCUUUGCUGAGAGAUACAUAAAGGAGCGGCCACAGGAAUAGUAGUUUGUGUUGUGAGAGGUCCGAAUAUGGGGGGAGUAGAGUUAAUAUAAGGAGAAAGGUUUUUUAAAUAAGUGCGAAGGAGGGCGGCAGCUUGCUGAUGUGAAAUGUCUGGGGAAGUCUUGCUGGACCUGUCUAGAGAGUAAAUGAGUUCUUCAGGAGGGUAAAGAUGAGGGCUGCUAAAGGAAGUUCAGAGGUGUAGGGAGACGGGAGAUAUUGCCCAGUCUGUCUGUAAGGCGGGGACAGCUGUGUAGGCACUGGAAGAAAGGGAAAUGCAAAGCCAGCAGUUGUUCACUAAGGAGGGACUAGAAGUGGCUAGGAGAGAAUGGGUAAGGUUGAUAGUGUGGUGGAGAUAGCUGGGGAGAGGUAGAGGGUGGCAUAAGAAUGGGAACGAGAAUAAGAGUGAGUAUAAAAGUAAAGAAUAGAACUUCAUCAGGGUGGAAGUAUUGGAGGGUGCCUUGCCAGCAAAGAUCAUCUACCCACUCUAAGAGGGAGUUAAGAGUGGCAGUUUGGGGUUAGCACCAAGAGAUAUCAGCUGUGAUGGCUUGAAGAAACAGUGUAAACCGGCGGUGUAAAGAAGAGUAGGGCAUUUAUAAGUAGUUGAGAAUGGAGAAUAGGAGUAUGACCAGACAGAAGAUAGUAGGGAUGACUAGUUUUUUUGGGCUCGGCCUAAGUGGUUGGGGUGACUUCGUAAAGCCCUGUUGCAAAAAGUAGGGUAAGGACGAACAGACCUAAUAGAAUGAAGGGAUGUAUUAGGCUCAUAAGGGUUAUUACUGCUCUUCAGAAAUAUGAGUGAGUUUAAGGGAAGUAGGGGAGAGUACUUGCGGCUUCCAGGAGGAAGAGGAGGGAUUAGGCUGGCUGUCCGAUGGACACAGCUUUAUUCUGGAAUGGUGAACCUAGUGGGGAGGAUCCUGCAGGCAGACGGCAGUCGGGGUACUAUAGAAGACGAGGUAGCAUCCGGUCCAUCGAGGUUGUAGAGUUUGAGGGGUCAGAUUCUUAACAAGAACUGAUCAUCCAGCUAGGAUGUCUCCAUAUGGCUGGGGAUCUGGAGUAGGCAAGAGAAGAUUAGCAGCCUGGUGAAUUUCCUGUCUAGCCUGCUGGAGGACUGGAAGAUAGUCACCUAGAGGGCUGGUGUCUGGGAUGAGGUUGGGGCCAAGCAAGAAAGUGUGUCCAUAUAAAAGUUCAAAUGGACCGUACCCUGUAGCAUCUCAAGGACAGGCUCUAAUUCUGAGAAGAGCAAGAGGUAAAAGUACUGUCCAAUCCUUUUUAAGUUGGAGGCUGAGCUUGGUGAGGUUUACCUUUAAAAGACCAUUAGUCCAUUCUACCUUUCCUGAAGAUUGAGGAUGGUAAGGGAUAUGAAGGUUCCACUGAAUACCAAGAGCCUGAGAAACUGCUUGGGUGAUUUGACUAGUAAAGGCUGGUCUGUCAUCAGACUGUAUAGAGGUGGGAAGCCUAAACUGAGGAAUUAUGUCUGACAGAGGGGAAGAAAUGACUGUGGUGGCCUUCUCAGACCCUGUAGGAAAGGCCUCUACUUAUCUAGUGAAAGUGUCUACUUAGACUAAGAGGUAUUUUAGUUAUCUGACUUGGGGCAUGUUGAGUGAAGCUAAUUUGCCAGUCCUGGGUGGGGGCAAAACCUUGAGCUUGAUGUGUAGGGAAGGGAGGGGGCCUGAAUAAUCCUUGAGGAGUAGUAGAAUAGCAGAUAGAAUAGCAGAUGGAACACUUGAGAAGUUAUUUCCUUGAGGAUAGAUUUCUACAAUGGAAAGGAAAUGAAAGGUUCAAAGAGGCGGGCUAGUGGCUUGUACUAUAGCAUAGCCUGCCUUUGCUGAUGUGUGGUGAUUAGGCCUGGUGGAACUGCCAUCAAUAAAUCAAGCGUGAUCAGGGUGAGAAACAGGGAAGAAGGAAAUGUGGGGAAAUAGGAUGAACAUCAGGUGGAUCAGAGAGAUGCAAUCAUGAGGGUCAGGUGUGGUAUCAGGAAUACUGUGGGAGGCUGGAUUGAAGUCCAGGCCAGGAACAAUGGUAAUUGUGGGACUUAACAAAGAGUGAGUACAGCUGAAGGAGCUGGGGAACAGAAAGUAUAUGCGUCAGGUAUGAGGAAGAAAAUAGAUUUUGGAAGUUAUGAGAAAUGUAGAGAGUGAGUUGAGCAUUGUUUGUGAUUUUUAGGGCCUCUAAAAUUAUUAAAGCAGCAGCAGCUGCUGCACACAGACAUGAGGGCUAGGCUAAAACAGUAAGGUCAAGUUGUUUCGACAGAAAGGCUACAGGGUGCGGUCCUGGCUCUUGUGUAAGAAUUCUGACGGCACUAACCAUGCCUAGGAAGGAAAGGAGUUGUUGUUUUGUAAGGGAUUGAGGUUUGGGAGAUUAAUUGGACAUGAUCAGCAGGGAGAGCAUGUGUGUUUUUAUGAGAAUUAUGCAGAGAUAGGUAACAGAUGGAGAAGAAAUUUGAGCUUUGGAGGGGGAUACCUGAUAUCCUUUGGAGAAUAAAUGCUGAAGAAGCAGAAGUGUGUCUUGUUGAGAAGAUUCAAAGGAGGGGCUACAAAGAAGAAGGUCAUCAAUAUAUUGAAUAAGGUGAGAAGCAGAGGGGUGGAAAGAAAGUAGAUCAUGAGAAAGAGCUUGGCUGAAGUAAAUGAGGGCUGUCCCUGAAACCUUGCGGCAGCACAGCCCAGGUUUUGACAUAAUUUGGUGUCAGAAGUAGAAUUGAAGCUGGUUAGUUGGACAGAUGGACAACCCCUGAAAUUGAGUGAAUUGCCUGUGCUGAGCCCUUUUGAGCUCUCCACCUCCGUGGCUGACCUUUUCUACCCUGCUGAAUCUCCUCUCAGAUUCCUGGACUCCUUUUUGGGCUAAGGAAUUGGGUUACUUUGUGCCCCGCCUCUGCCCGCAGGGAAGACCAUUCCUGGAUUUACCCUUCGAGGGAGCAGUAGAAGCGGAUCUGGCAUGAAGUGGGGGACACAACUCCCCUUAUGCUCCCAGCACAUCUCCUGGGCUGAGGCCAUCUCAGAUUGGAAGACCAGCUUUCCAAAGCAAGUCUCCUCCACAUCAUGAAGGAGAAAAAGGUGAAACAUUUGAUGUCCUGAUGGUAAUAGGAUCACAGGCUCUAAAACAUGAGGGAGGUGGGGCUGGACAAAGUCUUUAGGAGACUGCUGAAUUGUUGACUUUAUUCCAAGUCAGGAUCCCGAGUAAUCACUGAGCCUCAGUAUAAUUAUAUGCACAUGAGAAGCUAUUUAUUUCUUGCAUUCUGCUUAUCUUUGCCAAGAAAACACUCCUCCCCCAUGCCUUAAAAUGCCCAGAGACAUGGUUCUGGAUGAGCCACUUGGAGGGCUAAGGGCACCUGCUGGCUGAGGCCCAUGAGAACACACCAGCCCUGUGGGGAAAGUGUGGAGCUCAUGUACCCACUGCCCUUUCCCUGCUCAGAGCAGGGCAUCCCGACAGCAGCUAUGAAUGCACCUGCUCUGAGCAUCUCCCCGCCAGGCUCUGUGCACUCCAUCAGGGUCCUCUUCUGAGCCUGGCACUGCUCACCUGGGCAGAGAGUCCACUCAAGCCCCAGAGUCCUUGGCUUCAUUGGAAGUUCCUCCUGGGAGCAUCAACACAGCCCUUUCCCCCGUAUCCACUGGCUUUUGGGGAGCUGGGCCUGGGAAGCCCUUUUCUCUCCCUACGCUGUAUUCAUCCUGCCAGCCAAGCUGGAGCCUCUGCAUUUUUUAGUCCAAUUAUUGGCAGCUGUACAGGUUUCCCAGAACACCUGGCCCUCCUCACCCUCAUUCUGUGGCAUUAUUUAAUCAAACUGGCUAGGAGUAUUUAUAGCUCCCCUGAAAGGCAGCAGCCGCUCCAUUCCCGGGAAAGUGGAACAUUGAGACAUUAAAGAGUAUUUUCAAAAGAAAAAAAGUCCUCUCACAGACUCAUGAUGUUGCCAUCCCAAUGUGUCUUCCAAAAAUAGGCCUCCCGGACAGCUCCUCGGUGCCACCAGCUCUCUCCUCUGUGUACUUGCCACCUGCCAGGCUCAGAGUGAGAAAGCUACCUGCUACUGUUCCCAAAUGGUCAGUUCUAAUUCUCCAGCCCUCCUCCCAACCCAGAAAAUCCCAAUAUUCUUCCCUGGGUAGAUGUCCCUUUGAUUAAAAGAGAUGGAGCCAAGGGAAAUAACUAAAUCACAACUAAACAUUCCCUCUAGUGCAAGGAGUCAAUGAUUCUGGAUACUCUGCCACUCUGUUCUCCAUGGGAGCACCAAAGCCCAUCUUAAAUACAACCUCUUUCAUGCUUUAAGACUUAUGGAAGGAAGCCCAGGCCCAAUGAUUUGCUCAAAGUCCCAAAUGCUCUUUGGACUCAAGGCAUUCUGGUGGAGCAUCAGACAAAUGUGUGGCUCUUGGCCAAGAGCCAGGGAGCACAGAAAACUCUGAAGCUGGGGCAGGUGCAUGCUGGCUAGGCAGAAACAGUUACAGACCUUUGGAGAUGAAGAGCAACUGAGAAGGUAUGGUUGGAGAGCCU
rnacentral:lncRNA from 1 species